rnacentral:rRNA from 1 species
CAGCCGCCGCGGUAAUACGUAGGUCCCGAGCGUUGUCCGGAUUUAUUGGGCGUAAAGGGAGCGCAGGCGGUUUAGUAAGUCUGAAGUUAAAGGCAUUGGCUCAACCAAUGUAUGCUUUGGAAACUGUUAGACUUGAGUGCAGAAGGGGAGAGUGGAAUUCCAUGUGUAGCGGUGAAAUGCGUAGAUAUAUGGAGGAACACCGGUGGCGAAAGCGGCUCUCUGGUCUGUCACUGACGCUGAGGCUCGAAAGCGUGGGUAGCGAACAGGAUUAGAUACCCCAGUAGUCCCUGUCUCUUAUACC